AGAACAGAUUGGGCAGGAGAGAGGGUCAGCAACUUCUCCCUGUCUGCAGGCAGGCUGAAUGAGCCACCCUGGGACCAUGCUCAGCAGCCUCUGUAUUCUGCUCUACCUGCUUGCUCAGGAAUCUUCUCCUGAGACUCAGACCGAGGUCCCAGUGCUGCUCUUCCCUGAAUCCCACUCUGGUCUGAAGAGGCAGAAGAGGGACUGGGUUAUCCCUCCUAUCAACUGUCCUGAGAAUGAGAAAGGACCAUUUCCUAAAAACCUGGUUCAGAUCACAUCUAACAGGGACAAAGAAACCAAGGUUUACUAUGGUAUCACUGGCCAAGGAGCAGAUAAGCCUCCCACAGGGGUCUUCAUUAUUGAAAGAGAAACUGGGUGGAUGAAAGUGACGGAACCGCUGGACAGAGAAAAAAUUCCAAAAUAUAUUCUUCAAUCCCAUGCGGUGACUUCUGAUGGGAAGACCGUGGAAGAACCUAUGGAGAUGGUGAUUACCGUGAUUGAUCAGAAUGACAACAGGCCCGAGUUCACCCAGCAGAUCUUCGAGGGCUCAGUAGUCGAAGGAUCUUCUCCAGAAACCUCCGUGAUGCAAGUCACCGCCACGGAUAAGGAUGAGUACAGUGCUCUGCACAUAACAAUCUCACAGUAUAAAUUGAUCAUUCAAGCCGCUGACCUGGCAGGCUUAGGUUUGAGUACAACAGCCACGGCAGUAAUAGAAGUCAUCAGCCCGGUUGGGAGCAUGGAGCCAGUGGGCUCUCCCUUAACUACUCACGUCUUGGAUACUGCAUCAGGUCUUCCUGCCCAGGGUCUUCUCCUGCGCCUAUCCAGGCUUGAAAAUUCAAACCAGCAAUGGACCGAGUUGCGGAAAAGUUUCUGCUUCUCCCAGUUACACCAAUGCAGAUGGCCGCUGCCCUGGGCUCUUAACUUCUUCCCAGCUGAAGCCUGGCACCUACAAGUUGUUCUUUGACACAGGAAGUUACUGGAAUCAGAUGGGACAGACUAGCUUCUACCCAUAUGUGGAGGUUAUCUUCACCGUUACAAAUGAAACAAAGAAGCUCCAUGUGCCCUUGCUGUUGAGUCCAUUCUCCUACACCACUUACAGGGGGAGCUAGAAUGCCAAGAACCCAAAAAACAAGUGUGCAGAAGAAGGAAAUGUCCAAGAGGCUAGCCACUCUUACAAAUCUUAUGCCUCACCCUCUUCCUGAGCCUGUCACUAAUGUCAAAACAGCUGCCUGUGGUAGUCACAAAAUAAUAUACUUUGCAUUCAUCUUUCUUUCAUCUUGAAAAUAACAUCUCCCAUUCUCCCUCCACAGUUAGUUUUCCAGCUAGUUGCUGUGAUAAAGUGGCUGAGAUAA